UACGUAGGGUGCGAGCGUUGUCCGGAAUUACUGGGCGUAAAGAGCUCGUAGGCGGUCUGUCGCGUCCGCCGUGAAAGCCCGGGGCUUAACCCCGGGUCUGCAGUGGAUACGGGCAGGCUAGAGGUAGGUAGGGGAGAAUGGAAUUCCCGGUGUAGCGGUGAAAUGCGCAGAUAUCGGGAAGAACACCCAUGGCGAAGGCAGCUCUCUGGGACGGUACUGACGCUGAGGCGCGAAAGCGUGGGGAGCGAACAGG
rnacentral:rRNA from 1 species